GGGAAGAGAUCCCACAGGAGGAAGGGGGAUGGGAGAGAGAGAUACCACCAGAGGAAGGGGGAUGGGGAUGAGAGAUCCCACAGGGUGAAAGUGGAUGGGGGAGAGAAAUCCCACAGAAGGAAGGGGAAUGGGGAAGAGAGAUCACAUAGGAUGAUGGGGCAUGGGGAAGAGAGAUGAGACAGGAGGAAGUGGGUGGGGAAGUGAGAUCAAACAGGAGGUUGGGGGAUGAGUAGGAGAGAUCCCAUUGGAGGAAAGGGGAUGCUGAGGAGAGAUCCAACAGUUGGAAGGAUGGGGGAGUGGGAACAGAGAGCCCAGAGGAUGAAAGGGGGAUGGGAAAGCGAGAUCUCACAGGAGGAUUGCUACCUGUGCCACGUGCUAGUGAGGCUAGAAAUAGGAAGAUAAUGCAGCUAAAUACAUGGCUGAGGGGAUGAUGCAUGAGGGAGGGGUUCACGUUUCUGGACAAUUGGGCUUUCUUCCAGGGGAGGUGGGACCAGUUCGAAUUGGACAGUUUGCACCUGAACUGGAGGGGAACUGGAGGACUAACAUCCUGGCCGGUAGGUUAGCAAGUUCUGCUCCGGGGGUUUUAAACAAGGUUGCAGGGGGAGGGGAACCAGAGUGUUAGAGCAGAUAGUGAGGUGGUGGAGGAUAAGGGUCAUGCGAGGACUGCUUCUAUAGACAGAUAUCAAUGGUUUGUAUGUGAUAGAAAUGUUCUCAGGUGCAUCUAUUUCAAUGCAAGGAGUAUUGCAGGUAAGGCAGAUGAGUUUAGAUCGUGGAUUGGCACGAUGAUAUCGACAUUAUUGCUAUUAGUAAGACUUGGUUUGCAGGAGGGUCAGGACUGGCAGCUUCAUGUUCCGGGUUUCCAUUGUUUCAGAUGUGAUAGAGGGGAGGGAUGAAAGGGGGCGGAGUGGCAUUACCAGUCAGGGGAAUAUCACAGCUGUGCGUAGACGGGACAGCCCGGAGGGUUCAUCUACAGAGGCCAUAUGGGUGGAGCUGAGGAACGGGGAAGAUGUGACCACACUAAUAGGGUUGUAUUAUAGACCGCCCAGUAGUCAGAGAGAAUUCGAGGAGCAAAUCUGUAGAGAGGUAGCACACCAAUGUAAGAAACAGAAAGUCAUAAUCGUAGGGGAUUUUAACUUCCCACAUAUUCACGGGGACUCCCAUUCUGGGAAAGGGUUAGAUGGCGUGGAGUUUGUCAAAUGUGUCAGGAAAGUUUUCUAAAUCAAUACAUUGAGGUAUCAACGAGAGAGGGUGCAGUACCUGAUCUCCUAUUAAGUAACCAGACAGGUCAGGUGACAGAAGUAUGUGUCGGUGAACAUUUUGGGUCCAGUGACCAUAAUGUCAUUAGUUUCAAGAUAAUGAUGGAUGAGGAUAGGACUGGUCCGCCAGUUAAGGUUCUGAAUUGGAGAAGGGCCAAUUUUGUGGAAAUGAGAGAAGAUCCGGGAAGAGUGGAUUGGGAUAAGUUGUUUUCUGGCAAGGAUGUGUUCAGUAAGUGGAACGCCUUCAAGGGUGAAAUUUUGAGAGUGCAGAGUUUGCAUGUUCCUGCCAGGAUUAAAGGCAAAGUUAACAGGCAGAGGGAACCUUGGUUUUCAAGGGAUAUUGGCGAUCUGCUUAAGUAGGUGUUUAGCAGCUAUAGGAAACAAGGAACAAAUGAGGUACUUGAAGAGUAUAGAAAAUGUAAGCAAAUACUAAAGAAGGAAAUCAGGAAGGCAAAAAGAAGACAUGAGGUUGCUUUGGCGGAUAAUGUGAAGGUAAACCCGAAGGGUUUCUACAAGUAUAUUAAGAGUAAAAGGAUAGUAAAGGACAAAAUUGGUCCCCUAGAAGUUCAGAGUGGUCGUCUCUGUGUGGAGCCUCACGAGAUGGGGGAGAUCUUAAACAGUUUUUUUGCGUCAGUGUUUACUCAGGAAACUGGCAUAGCGGAUAUGGAAUUAAGGGAAACAAACAGUAGUGUCAUGGAACAUAUAGAGUUUAAAGAGGAGGAGCUGCUUGCUGCCUUACAGUGAAUAAAGGUAGAUUAAUCCCCCGGGCCUGACGUGAUAUUCCCUCGGACCUUGAGAGAGACUUGUGUAGAAAUUGCAGGGGCCCUGGCAGAAAUAUUUAAAAUGUCCUCAGCCAGGGGUGUGGUGCCGGAGGAUUGGAGGGUAGCUCAUGUUGUUCUGUUGUUUGAAAAAGGCUCCAAAAGUACACCAGGUCAUUACAGGCCAGUGAGCCUGACAUCAGUAGUAGGUAAAUUAUUGGAAGGUGUUCUGAGAGAUCGGAUAUACAAGGAUUUGGACAGCCAAGGGCUGAUAAAAGAUAGUCAGCAUGGCUUUGUGUGUGGUAGACCAUGUUUAAUGAAUCCUGUAGUGUUUUUCGAGGAUGUUACCAAGAAUACAUAUGAAGGAAAGGCUGUGGAUGAUGUCUACAUUGACUUUUGUAAGGCCGUUGACAAAGUUCCACAUAAAAGGUUAGUUCUAAAGGUCCAGACACAAGGUAUCCAUGGAGAGGUUGUAAACUGGAUUUGAAUUGACUGUGUGGGAGAAGACAGAGAGUGGUAGUGGAUGAUUGCUUCUCAGACUGGAGGCCUGUGACUAGUGGUGUGUCUCAGGGAUCUGUGCUGGGACCAUUGUUGUUUGUUGUCUGUAUCAAUUAUCUAGAUGAUAAUGAGAUAAAUUGUAUCAACAGGUUUGCGGAUGACACUAAGAUGUAGGCAUUGUGGACAGCGAGGAAGGCUUUCAAAGCUUGCAGAGGGAUCUGAACCAACUGGAAGAAUGGGCCAGAAAAUGGCAGAUGGAAUUUAAUGCAGACAAGUGUGAGGUGUUCCAUUUUGGAAGGACAAAUCAAGACAGGGAGCAACCAUACUCCAAGCAUCUGACCACACAACACCCACUGGGACAGCCUGCUGGUCCAAGAAAUGUAAUGUCUCAA